rfam:Aedes albopictus isolate Foshan contig6753, whole genome shotgun sequence.
UAGCCUAGUGGUUAAGGCUAUGGAUCGCCAAUCCGGUGACGGCGGGUUCGAUUCCCGU